GGGCGGCUGGCGCAAUGGUAGCGCGUCGCCCUCCUAUGCCGACACAGGAAUGUGCGCAUGGCAAGGCGAAGGUUCUCGGUUCGAGUCCGGGGUCGCUCG